rnacentral:rRNA from 1 species
UUUAACAUUCAUCUUUUAGAUGUGAUUUAAUUUUUAUAUUCUUCCUUUUGAUACGCUCCAUUAAAUUUUAUAUUUUUUGGAUUUAAGUGUUUCAAAUUGUUUACUGUGAAAAAAUUAGAGUGUUCAAAGCAGGCGUAACCUAGCCUUUGAAUAUAUUAGCAUGGGAUAAUGAAAUAGGACUUUAAUCCUACUUUCGUUUGUCUAGGGCUAAAGUAAUGAUUAAUAGGGAUAGUUGGGGUCACUAGUAUUUAAUUGUCAGAGGUGAAAUUCUAAGAUUUAUUAAAGACUAACUACUGCGAAAGCAUUUGACAAGGAUGUUUUCAUUAAUCAAGAACGAAAGUUGGGGGAUCGAAGAUGAUCAGAUACCGUCGUAGUCUCAACCAUAAACUAUGCCGACCAAGGAUCCGAGGUUGUUAAUAUGGAUGACUCUUCGGGCACUUAUAGAGAAAUCAUAAGUAUUUGGCUCCGGGGGGAGUAUGGCCGCAAGGCUGAAACUUAAAGGAAUUGACGGAAGGGCACCACAAGGAGUGGAACCUGCGGUUUAAUUUGACACAACACGGGAAAACUUACCAGGUCCAGACACAGUGAGGAUUGACAGAUUGAGAGUUCUUUCUUGAUUCUGUGAGUGGUGGUGCAUGGCCGUUUCUAGUUGGUGGAGUGAUUUGUCUGGUUAAUUCCGUUAACGAACGAGACCUUAACCUAUUAAAUAGUUAUUUAAACUUGAUUUUUAAAAUCAAAUGUUUAAAAAACUUCUUAGAGGGACUCUUCACUGAGAGGGUGAAUGGAAGUUUGAGGCAAAAACAGGUCUGUGAUGCCCUUAGAUGUUCUGGGCCACACGCGCGUUACACUGACAUAUUCAACGAGCAUUAUCCUUACCCGUCGGGGUUGGGUAAUCUUUUAAAUGUAUGUCGUGCUGGGGAUAGAUCAUUGUAAUUAUUGGUCUUGAACGAGGAAUUCCUAGUAAGUGCGAGUCAUCAACUCGCGCUGAUUACGUCCCUGCCCUUUGUACACACCGCCCGUCGCUCCUACCGAUUGAAUGGUCCGGCGAGAACUCAGGAUGGAUAUGGAUUUUGGACACCGUUAGGUGCUCCAACCAUAUCCAGAAUUUGUUCAAACCUUACCAUUUAGAGGAAGGAGAAGUCGUAACAAGGUUUCCGUAGGUGAACCUGCGGAAG